GUUAUCAGAUCACUGUGCACUGCAAAGAUGAGUGGGAUCUGUGUUACAGGAUCUACAUCCUUGCUUUAGGGCCAAAAUUUUGUCUGCUGUGCUGUCUAUGAAUGCUGUGUUGUCUUUGCUGAAAU
rnacentral:lncRNA from 1 species